GACGAACCGUACGAACGUUAUUCGGAAUCACUGGGCUUAAAGGGUGCGUAGGCUGCGCGGAAAGUUGGGUGUGAAAUCCCUCGGCUCAACCGAGGAACUGCGCCCAAAACUGCCGUGCUCGAGGGAGACAGAGGUGAGCGGAACUUAGGGUGGAGCGGUGAAAUGCGUUGAUAUCCUAAGGAACACCGGUGGCGAAAGCGGCUCACUGGGUCUCUUCUGACGCUGAGGCACGAAAGCUAGGGUAGCGAACAGG
rnacentral:rRNA from 1 species